rnacentral:ncRNA from 1 species
GUGUAUCCGUUGGGGUGCCCGUUCAGGGCUGAGAGGCGAUGCGCCAACCCACCGAACCUGAUCCGGCUCGCACCGGCGUAGGGAACGGAGACCGCGCAACC